rnacentral:lncRNA from 1 species
CGGAAAUGACGCCAGGGGAUGCAAACCCUUCUGCCCCUUUUUGCUACCCCUGAAGCUUACUGUUAGUGGUCGAGUUUUUCUGGAAGUGGGCUUCCGCGAUCGCGGGGACCAACGCCCUGAGCUCUUGUGCCCAAAGGGGAUCGCCAGGUUUUUUGAUGCGGAUCGAAAGGGACUGGCCCCGGAGCCUACAACCUGACGCAGGUGGACAAGGUGGAGGAGAGAGAAUUCCUUGGCAGUAGCAUUAUGAACAAAUGCAGGGCUGAGAAACAGCAUGGUGGCCUUGACUAAGUUUAUGGCGACAGCAGGAGCCCUCUACCUUCGCAAUUCCCGGUGCUGUGGAGCUGUCAGAGUUUUAACAUCUCAACCAAGCCACAUGGAUACUAUUUCCUCAGAAAAGACAAAAUUGAUCCAAGCAGAAGAGUGAACUCACCGAAGAGGACUCUCUACCCAUAACUGGGGAUGCCUCAGCCACUCACACUUACUCCAAGAUUAGUGUCACUGAUUAUGGAAAGAAUUGACUUCUUCCCCUGGUCUUGCUCAUUUUUCUAGAGCCCAGGACAAUAAAUGUGUUUUACGGCAGAGAAAAGU